rnacentral:lncRNA from 10 species
GUUAGUUCUGGCCAAUAGGAGGCACUCAAGUGAGACUGGGAGCAAGAGGAGUGGGAGAGUCGAUCUAUUUGCUGUCUCUUCUUUCGUUCCCUGUGGCUAUUGCCGGCAGUGGCUUUAAAUCCUCCGGGUUGCAGAUCUGGCCAGGUGGCCUGUCCUUCGUGAUUGCACAUCCAGCCUGGUGAGGCAGCUGCCAAACCCUCAGCUGUCGUCUUCCUCCAUGUGGCCCUUGCUCCUGAACUGUGACCCUGCUAACUACUUUCCUUCUCCCCAGACUCAAAUUUGUACAGUAAAAAACACUUCCAAACAUUUCUAUUUGAUGGAACGGAAGGAGAAUUAACAAGUAUUUCAAUCUUACAUGACCUCUGAAGAAAUGCUGAAGGAGGCUGACAGGAAAGAGUUACCCAACAGAUACCAAAAUGAUCCCGAGCUCUGAAGUUCUGAGCUCAGAAAUGUGUUUGCACAGCAUAGAUGCAUUAGAUCCUGUUCAGCAAUAGAACUGGAGAAAUACCACAGUAAAGCAGAUGUGACGAGCCCACCAGACAGUAACAAGUGCAAACUUCCUCCCAGGUUCCUAGUUGAG